UACGUAGGGUGCGAGCGUUAAUCGGAAUUACUGGGCGUAAAGCGUGCGCAGGCGGUUCGCCAAGUCAGGUGUGAAAUCCCCGGGCUUAACCUGGGAAUUGCGCUUGAAACUAGCGGGCUUGAGGGUGGGAGAGAGAAGUGGAAUUCCCGGAGUAGCGGUAAAAUGCGUAGAUCUCGGGAGGAACACCGAUAGCGAAGGCAGCUUCUUGGCCCAUUCCUGACAUUGAGGCACGAAAGCGUGGGGAGCAAACAGG
rnacentral:rRNA from 1 species